UACGUAGGGUGCGAGCGUUGUCCGGAAUUAUUGGGCGUAAAGAGCUUGUAGGCGGUCUGUCGCGUCUGCUGUGAAAAUCCGGGGCUCAACCCCGGACUUGCAGUGGGUACGGGCAGACUAGAGUGUGGUAGGGGAGAUUGGAAUUCCUGGUGUAGCGGUGGAAUGCGCAGAUAUCAGGAGGAACACCGAUGGCGAAGGCAGAUCUCUGGGCCGUAACUGACACUGAGGAGCGAAAGCCAGGGGAGCAAACGGG
rnacentral:rRNA from 1 species